rnacentral:tRNA from 1 species
GCCGAUGUAGCUCAGUGGUAGAGCAACUGUUUCGUAAACAGUAGGUCGUCGGUUCAAAUCCGACCAUCGGCUCCA